CGAAGCUAGUGUGCUAGCUGAAUACCCAACUCUCGGUUGACUAAACGACAACUAAAAAUAUCUAAACUACAGCUGUUGCAUGUGUUCUUAAAUGAGCGUUUAACGGCGGCUGCUGUUGAGGUUUUCGGGGCAGUUGAGAAAACAGUAGUGUAGUAUCAAGAGAAGAGGAUCACACCGGAUAUAAAACUAAGUAGAAUAGGCACCAAUGCAGUAAUGGCUGGCUUUGGUCUGCUUUGGUCUACUUAGUCCCCCCCCCCACCUUCAAGACUGUUGGAAAAGGAUUCCAAGUGAAGCUGGUUGAGAGAAUACCAAGUGUGCAAAGCUGUCAUCAGGCAAAGGACUCCCUGCAGCUCUCUCUCACUGUCUUUGAAAAGGAGGUUCCUGAUGAGCAACAGCACUGUGAGCAGAAGUGGAGACCCAGUCUGGGGCAGGAGGACCCAGAGCCCACAGAGAUUAAAGAGGAAGAGGAGGAAGUCAAGGCCAGUCAGGAGGAAGAGCAGCUUCAAGGACUCUUUGAUAUCAAAGACUCCAUAUUCACUACUCCCUGUGUGAAAAGUGAAUGUGAUCAGGAGGUACCGUGACCUGUCUGAAGAGUCUAGACACUUCCUGUGACUAUCCAGAUAAACAAAACAAUGCCUCCAGCCACAGCUCAGCUGUAAGCAGUGACCCAGUAGGACUUGACAGCAGCCCACCAUUGGGGAACACCGCUCCAAAACCAGCACCAUGUCUAGAAAAACGUACGGCUGCCCCGACUGUGGUGAAACGUUUGUUCUGAAAGCUGACCUGCAGGGGCAUGUGACUCUCACCAAGAAGAGAUCCAGCGUCUGCAAAAAAAAGCAACAACUCCACCUGUAAAUUGAAGGCCCAUGUCUAAAUCCAUCACAUGGAGAAACUCUGCACCUUCCCCUUUUGUGCAAGACCUUCAAAUAUUCAAAUAUUUUCAGGCACAUGAUGAUUCACACAGGAGAGAAACCGUUUAGCUGUGGUGACUGUGGUGACUGUGAGAAAAGCUUCAUUCAGAAGGGGGACCUAAUGAGACAUAUACUGACUCACACAGGAGAGAAACCAUUUAGCUGUGGUGACUGUGGGAAAAGCUUCAUUCAGAAGGGGGACCUAAUGAGACAUAUACUGACUCACACAGGAGAGAAACCAUUUAGCUGUGGUGACUGUGGGAAAAGCUUUAAUCGGAGGGGGCAGCAGAAGGUGCACAUACAGACUCACACAGGAGAGAAACAACAUGGCUGCUUAGUCUGUGGUAAAAGAUUCACUCAUAAGGCUUAUCUAGUGAAACAUGUGGAUAAGGUCCACAAAGGAAGGAAGAAAGAAAACAGGAUGAAAACGGAAAGAAAAUGAAAUAGGACAAAUAUAUUCUAUCAACAGAUGGGAAUUUUAAAAAGCAGGAUGAGGACAACGGCCUUAGCAAACCACCUCUGGACCAUUCAUGCUGUUCUCUUAAGAUAAAUGGAUGUGUGAUGAAUUGACUUUUAACAGAAUAUUCUUUGUAAAUAAAGUCUCAUUUUUAUUUGAAGGGUGAGGUAAUGAUCAAACAGUUAGUAUGCAGUAUUAUGUGAAUCUCACUGGUCUGCUGUUGAAAGUCUGUUGAUGUUUUCACAUGAUUACCAACAGGAAUAUCUGGUUGUUUGUUUUGGAAUGUCUCUCAGGGUGAUGAGAGAAUGGUCUGGCUGAUGUUAUUGAUACGUAAAAAAUGUUUACACUUUCCAGAAAAUAUCUCCUUCCAUCUGUCUUUUUGUCAUACAUUUUGACCUAAUGCUGCUCAUUCAGGAUAUUGUUUGAGUCUUUAUGGAAGUAAUGAUUCAAAGUCGAUUCCUGAUAAGUGCACUUUGUGUGAGUGAAAACUCUGUUCUAAGUGCACAACAGUGUUUGUCCAGUCCCAUUUCAGUGACACCCCUUGUAAUUGCUCCCGAUAAGCGCAUUCUCUUUUUAAAUGCAUGUUUUCACAUCAGUCCCAAGCCGUUGCAGUUGUCAAGAGUCGCCUGUGUUAAAAUGCAUUGCCUUUCAAUUCAGUUCAUGCAAAAAAAUAUAAUCCUAUUACUAAUUCAAACUGUUUCCCCAAAUGAAG